CCUCGUGGUCUCCAGCCGUGCAGGUUCUCCUCGCCUCUGACAUACGUGGAACUGGUAUCCAAGACGCGACGUUGACGUCUUUGAACUCCUGUAAAUAAAUGGGGAGCGGAAGAGGGAAAACAGGGUCGAGAAGAAGGAAAGAGUCAAAAAUUUUCAUACAGAACUCCACUUUGAUUCCACUUUGAGGUGAUAUCAAGCGAGUGAACAUGGGACUACACUAUGGUUAGACAUAACAAACCUGGGCUACCUGCUUCCGAAGAACGACGCAGAACUAGCUCGUAGACGCCGCUGAGUCGAUUCGCCUCUUGGUUGCGAUAGCUGCCGCUGAACAGGUGUUUCAGUGAGCGUGGCCCAACUCUCGCGUCCCUUCCGUAGAUAAUCAUACUGAGAUCUUUUGUGAUAAUCGCGGGUCUUCCACAGUUCUCCAACUGAGAUCAUCACGCAACGAAAAGAUAAGAUUAAUUGCCUUAAAAUGUUUCUCUCUCAAAAUGAAGUAUACAUACCUCGAGAUACGCGGAGAUAGUCAUAAAGAUCUGUUCUCCAUAAGCAGUGACGCGAUUGAGCAGAGUUGAAUUGUGAAGCGAGCUGUCCCAUGCCGCCUCGAAUCUGAACAUACACCGAUCGUCGCCGGGAACUUCGAGGUACUCGCCUGGGAACAAGCCCAACGAGAGCACAGACGAGUCGUUAUCCUCCUCUUCGGGCUCCGGAGUGUUUCGAAUACGGCCGACUACGAGCUCGCGCACGUCUUUCCAUCUUAAUUCGGAGGCCGGCUCGUGCACAAUAGUGAUCCGUAUGCGCCGCUGUAUGCCUUGGUGAAGCAGGAACAGUCCACGACACGGUAAGUCGUCGCUGUGGUCCACCACGGAUGGCACGUAUUCGCCGUUCGGCGCCAACUCGCAGAUCUCGAACCACACCAGCACGUCGUACUUUGCAUGCACAUGAGACGUGCUAGGAGACGGCAGAACACUGCCGAAUUUCGGCGAACGCACCGGCUGGCUGAUCGGUAUGGAUGGCGGAAGCAUCCUCUUCGGCGGCUGUCGUACACUGCAACACACGUACGUUUCGCGUCUUUGUGUAACGGGUGCUGUUGAUAAUGGCCGAACACCUCGAAAACGAUAGGUUGUGUCUUCAGAUACUCCAAGAAAGAUUUAGUGACUGUGACUGUAAUCUGAGAAGAUUACACAUCGAUUAAUGGAAUCUUAUUUUAAUAAAAACUAGAAAAGUU